GAAAUGCGAUAAGUAAUGUGAAUUGCAGAAUUCAGUGAAUCAUCGAAUCUUUGAACGCACAUUGCGCCCGCCAGUAUUCUGGCGGGCAUGCCUGUUCGAGCGUCAUUUCAACCAUCAAGCCCCCGGGCUUGUGUUGGGGACCUGCGGCUGCCGCAGGCCCCGAAAACCAGUGGCGGGCUCGCUGUCACACCGGGCGUAGUAGAUUUUUCGUCUCGCCCAGGGCGUGCUGCGGGUUCCGGCCGUUAAAAAGCCUCUCUUUUAACCCAAGGCUGACCUCGGAUCAGGUAGGAAGACCCGCUGAACUUAAGC
rnacentral:misc_RNA from 1 species